GCUGGCAUAGCUCAACUGGUAGAGCACCUGAUUUGUAAUCAGGCGGUUAUCGGUUCAAUUCCGGUUGCCAGCUCCA
rnacentral:tRNA from 1 species